GACGAAGGAUGCAAGCGUUAUCCGGAUUCAUUGGGUUUAAAGGGAGCGCAGGCGGGCUGGUAAGUCAGUGGUGAAAGCCUUGAGCUUAACUCGAGAACUGCCAUUGAUACUAUCAGUCUUGAAUAUUGUUGAGGUUUGCGGAAUGGGUCAUGUAGCGGUGAAAUGCAUAGAUAUGACCCGGAACACCUAUUGCGAAGGCAGCAGGCUAAACAAAGAUUGACGCUGAGGCUCGAAAGCGUGGGGAUCAAACAGG
rnacentral:rRNA from 1 species